rnacentral:rRNA from 1 species
UCCGUUUGAUCCUGGCGGAGGCCACUGCUAUCGGAGUUCGAUUAAGCCAUGCGAGUCGAGAGGUGUAAGACCUCGGCAUACUGCUCAGUAACACGUGGACAACCUACCCUGAGGAGGGGGAUAACCCCGGGAAACUGGGGAUAAUACCCCAUAGGCUAUGGAUGCUGGAAUGCUCUGUAGUUGAAAGGUCCGCCGCCUCAGGAUGGGUCUGCGGCCGAUUAGGUUGUUGUUGGGGUAACGGCCCAACAAGCCUGUAAUCGGUACGGGUUGUGGGAGCAAGAGCCCGGAGAUGGAUUCUGAGACACGAAUCCAGGCCCUACGGGGCGCAGCAGGCGCGAAAACUUUACAAUGCGAGCAAUCGUGAUAAGGGAACUCCGAGUGCCCGUAAAAUCGGGCUGUCCGCCAGUUUAAAUAACUGGUGAAGAAAGGGCCGGGCAAGACCGGUGCCAGCCGCCGCGGUAAUACCGGCGGCUCGAGUGGUGGCCACUAUUACUGGGCUUAAAGCGUUCGUAGCUGGUCUGUUAAGUCUCUGGGGAAAUCUUCCGGCUUAACCGGAAGGCGUCUCAGGGAUACUGGCAGACUGGGGACCGGAAGAGGUGAGAGGUACUCCAGGGGUAGGAGUGAAAUCCUGUAAUCCUUGGGGGACCACCUGUGGCGAAGGCGUCUCACCAGAACGGCUCCGACAGUGAGGAACGAAAGCUGGGGGAGCAAACCGGAUUAGAUACCCGGGUAGUCCCAGCUGUAAACGAUGCGCGUUAGGUGUAUCGGUGACCACGAGUCACCGAGGUGCCGAAGAGAAAUCGUGAAACGUGCCGCCUGGGAAGUACGGUCGCAAGGCUGAAACUUAAAGGAAUUGGCGGGGGAGCACCACAACGGGUGGAGCCUGCGGUUUAAUCGGACUCAACGCCGGGAAACUCACCGGACAAGACAGCUGAAUGAUAGUCGGGCUGAAGACUCUACUUGACUAGCUGAGAGGAGGUGCAUGGCCGUCGUCAGUUCGUACUGUGAAGCAUCCUGUUAAGUCAGGCAACGAGCGAGACCCA